rnacentral:tRNA from 1 species
GGGCCCGUGGCGCAAUGGUAGCGCAUCAAGAUGGCAUCUUGGGGGUUAGGGGUUCGAAUCCCCUCGGGUCCA